rnacentral:rRNA from 1 species
AAGCCUGGAUCAGCCUGGCCGCGGUGAGUGAAGAAGGCCUUCGGGUUGUAAAGCUCUUUCAGCCGAAAAGAAACGGUCGCGACUAAUACCCGUGACUACUGACGGUACCGGAGAAAAAGCACCGGCUACUACGUGCCGCGCCCGCGGGUAUAAA